GUCCCCCAGAUAGUGUGAUGACUACCGUUGUCGUUCUGAGAUUAUACGGUUGAACUUGAUCUGGAUAAUUCCAGCGAAAGGACUCAUGCGCGCUUUCUUU
rnacentral:ncRNA from 22 species